UACGUAGGCAGCGAGCGUUGUCCGGAUUUAUUGGGCGUAAAGAGCGUGUAGGCGGCCAGGUAGGUCUGCUGUGAAAACUCGAGGCUCAACUUCGAGCUGUCGGUGGAAACUAUCUGGCUAGAGUCCGGAAGAGGAGAAUGGAAUUCCUGGUGUAGCGGUGAAAUGCGCAGAUAUCAGGAAGAACACCCGUGGCGAAGGCGGUUCUCUGGGACGGUAACUGACGC
rnacentral:rRNA from 1 species